CAGUAGGGGUUCUGAGAGGAAGGUCCCCCACAUUGGAACUGAGACACGGUCCAAACUCCUACGGGAGGCAGCAGUGAGGAAUAUUGGUCAAUGGGCGAGAGUCUGAACCAGCCAAGUAGCGUGCAGGAUGACGGCCCUAUGGGUUGUAAACUGCUUUUAUAAGGGAAUAAAGUGAGUCUCGUGAGACUUUUUGCAUGUACCUUAUGAAUAAGGACCGGCUAAUUCCGUGCCAGCAGCCGCGGUAAUACGGAAGGUCCGGGCGUUAUCCGGAUUUAUUGGGUUUAAAGGGAGCGUAGGCCGGAGAUUAAGCGUGUUGUGAAAUGUAGACGCUCAACGUCUGCACUGCAGCGCGAACUGGUUUCCUUGAGUACGCACAAAGUGGGCGGAAUUCGUGGUGUAGCGGUGAAAUGCUUAGAUAUCACGAAGAACUCCGAUUGCGAAGGCAGCUCACUGGAGCGCAACUGACGCUGAAGCUCGAAAGUGCGGGUAUCGAACAGGAUUAGAUACCCUGGUAGUCCGCACGGUAAACGAUGGCAGCCCGCUGUUGGUCUGAAUAGGUCAGCGGCCAAGCGAAAGCAUUAAGCAUCCCACCUGGGGAGUA
rnacentral:rRNA from 1 species